rnacentral:tRNA from 1 species
GCCCGUGUAGUUCAAUGGUAGAACGCUUGGUUGUGGCCCAGGAAACGUAGGUUCGAUCCCUACCGCAGGUACCA